rnacentral:snRNA from 14 species
AUAUUUAUCUGGUAGGGGAGAUGCCAUGAUCAUCGUCUUGGCCUUGAAUGAUAAGUGUAACUGGAGGGUGAAGGCCUGUUCCUUGCACUGCGGGCAUGCUGACCUCUGUGAAAGUCUACAAAUACUUCUAAAUGCAAGGGUCUCUCGACUACACAAUUUAUAGUGAUGGGGGAUUGCUUUCGGGCUUUCACCCU